GAUCACCCAGCCGCCCCCAGAGGAGGCGGCCCUCGGUGUAAAAUCCCAUCCGGAGGCCUGGGGUCUUGGGGCAGGGAAGAGAAACCACUGUGCUGAGAAAGCAAUGGACUGGGGGCCUACUUUGUGCCAGUUUUGGUUCAGGCACUUUACACACACUCUGGGGACCAUGGGGACACUGCAGUCAUGGUGCCUAAGUGAUGGCUGAGAAACUGGCUGAGAGGAGUUAGGGGACAGGUGAUCGGGGCGGCUGGGGUUUGAAGUCAGUCCACGUGACCUCACAGCUCCUGCUCCUUUUGCCGCACCGACUGUGGUGGAAAUAUUUCUUGGUAACCUGCCCUCCCUCAGCUAUUAAAAUCCACCUUCCGGAAGCUCCAGCUGGCCGGGCACUGCGGAAGCUCACAGUCACUUCCAGUUGCCUCUGAGGUCAGCUCCCUCCAGCCAAGGGCAGCCCUUCCCGCUGGAGGCCCGCUCCCGGCCCUGUUAUCAGCAGUUUCCUGUCCCUCGAAGCCUGGGCAGCUACACUGGCUAAGGGCAAGGCCUCUGCCUCCCAUGCUGUGCACCCAGCCAACUGUGGGUUCCCCGUGGUCCCUGUCACACUGUGCAGCCCUCGGCCCCCAGUCCCCAAUUGGUUCCCAGAUGGAGAGGGUGGGUCCUCCCCCUGAAAACCCAGGCCAAGGCAGCCCAGCAGAGGCCAGGCUUUACCUGCCCAUCCUUUUAGGGUGAGGUGGGGUGUGUCCCAUCUGGAGGCCACGCCUCACUUUGCUUCCCCAGCCCCGUCUGCUGGACCGCUGCCUUUCCAUCAGCACAGGCCAUGCUGGGCCCACAGCUUAGCCUGGGUAUGGCUUUGACCUGGAAUGUCCUUUACUCCUGGAGUGGUGGCCAGGCAUCCUUUGGAGCCCUGUUCAGACAUCUCAUCGGUGAAAUUCUGCUCUGCUGGCAUUGAUUGUCCCUAACUUGCUUCUCAAAGUCCGUCUUGCCCCUUUCCACAUUGCUCUGUGCCUGCGAGGCUAACUUGUAUGAUUGCACCUGCACCCGCCCCCUGCCCUCUGAUUUCUACCCGGGCUUUGCCGUUGGGAUCACCAGCAAGAGCUCAAAAGACCAGAGGGAAGAGAGGUUUUGGGGUCUUUGGCACUGCCCCUGCGUUCUCUCCCUGCAGGGCUGACCACAUCCCUCGAGCAUGUGUCAUGGCUUCUCACAGCAGCUCCCUCCUGGGUGUGUCAGACCUGGGGCACAGUGGUACCCACUGCCCUGGCUCUCACCUUUGUAAAUCAUCCCUUUCUUUGUCAAGCCCUCCUCAGAUGAUCUUAGCUUGGAUGCCCACCUGUAUCUGCUCAGACCACCCUGCCUGCUACAAAAGUUUAUGUAGGUGCCCAGAUGGGUGAAGGAUGGUCCCUGCCCUGGAGAAGCUGGUGGGAUGGGUUCAUUGUGGUAAGUGCCAGGAUGCCCAUGUGCCAUGAAGCCAUUGGUCUGGGAGAUUCAAAGAGUCUUCCAAAGGAAAUCUCUGGGCGCUGGAAGGUUGGUCAGAGGCAAGUGACAGAAGCGUGAGUGCCAGAGUUCCAGUUAUGGCUCAGUAGGUUAAGAACCCGACUAGUAUCCAUGAGGAUGUGGAUUUGAUCCUUGGCCUUGCUCAGUGGGUUAAAGAUCCAGCUUUGCUGUGAGCUGCAGUGUAGGGUGCAGAUGCAGUUUGGAUCCCGCAUUGCUGUGGCUAUGGCGUAGGCCAGCAGCUAUAGCUCUGAUUCAACCCCUAGCCUGGGAACUUCCAUAUGCCACCAUAAAAAGAAAAAAUUAAAAAAAAAAAAAAG
rnacentral:lncRNA from 1 species